rnacentral:misc_RNA from 1 species
GAUGAAGAACGCAGCGAAAUGCGAUAAGUAAUGUGAAUUGCAGAAUUCAGUGAAUCAUCGAAUCUUUGAACGCACAUUGCGCCCCCUGGUAUUCCGGGGGGCAUGCCUGUCCGAGCGUCAUUACAACCCUCAAGCUCUGCUUGGUGUUGGGCCCCGCCGCCCCGGCGGGCCCUAAAGUCAGUGGCGGUGCCAUCCGGCUCCGAGCGUAGUAAUUCUUCUCGCUCUGGAGGUCCGGUUGUGUGCUUGCCAUCAACCCCCAAUUUUUUUCAGGUUGACCUCGGAUCAGGUAGGGAUACCCGCUGAACUUAAGCAUAUCAAUAGCGGAGGA